rnacentral:rRNA from 1 species
UUUUUUGGAGAGUUUGAUCCCGGCUCAGGAUAAACGCUGGCGGUGUGCUUUAUGCAUGCAAGUCGAACGAACCGUUUCGGCGGUUAGUGGCAGACGGGUGAGUAACACGUAAGUAACCUGCCCUU